GAAAUCAUACAAAAUGUGGAGUAUGGGGAAUAUUACGCACGAUUAUCUGCAAUAAUAUCCAACAGUCUGGAAUCUGGAGUGCUGAGUGGUAUUUGCAAAUUAACGUCGCGUCUUUUCAGUGAAAGCUGUCGGCUCUAUAAAGCCAUGAUGUGUGUUUUGUGUACCACAUGCUCCCCUGUACUUAAUUAUAACACGGUGAGGAAAAUCACAGAAUCUUUCAGCAAUAUCUGGACAUCUUACGUAACGUCGGAGUCAAUGUUUCUUGUAACAGAAUGGCUCAGGGGAUCGUGUGAAGCUAUCUACGGGGUCCUAGUGACGUCACUCAAUGUUGUCAUGGAUGUUUUUGCAAAAGCGAAGCAUUUUAUUAUCUUACCAGCUUUUGACAUUGUGUCACAGGCUUUAUUUACAUUCGGCAUACCUCUAGAAAUUCCGUCAAUUGAUGACAUCUCGCAGCAUCUUCAAUACCUAGCAAUGAUCACCCUGCAUGGAAUGAUAGCUAUCAGCAAAGGCUCGCUGCUCAUGACUCAGAAGAUCGGAGGAUUCCGGAAAGCCGGACAUAUAGAUACGGUUGACACUGCGGGAAUCAUAAUACACUGGCAUGCCAUUUAUCGUCUCAUAGGUCUUGUUGCCAUUGGUGGCCUUGUCAUGCUGGUGGGAAUGUUUCACAAAUUUCUUAGAAUUUCUGGACGGUACAGACGAUGGCCUGUCCCCACUAGAACUGUCGUUUGUGUUGACGUAAGGCCAGAUCAGGGCACCAUAUCGGCAUCAGAAGCCAGUCCAGCUACUGAAGA